GCUUGUCUCAAAGAUUAAGCCAUGCAUGUCUAAGUAUAAACAACUUUAUACAGUGAAACUGCAGAUGGCUCAUUAAAUCAGUUAUAAUUUAUUUGAUGAUUAACUUUACUACAUGGAUAACCGUAGUAAUUCUAGAGCUAAUACAUGCGAAAAGUCCUGACUUCUUCGUGAGGGAGGGAUGUAUUUAUUAGAUACAAUCAAACGCACCAACAUAAAACCUUGGUGAUUCAUAAUAACUGUUCGGAUCGUAUGGCAUCAGCUGGCGAUGAAUCAUUCAAGUUUCUGACCUAUCAGCUUCCGACGGUAGGGUAUUGGCCUACCGUGGCAAUGACGGGUAACGGAGAAUUAGGGUUCGAUUCCGGAGAGGGAGCCUGAGAAACGGCUACCACAUCCAAGGAAGGCAGCAGG
rnacentral:rRNA from 1 species